GGCAUUUAUUCCCAGGUUUGGUAGGCUGAAGUCUUCAGGGGAGACUGAUGAAAUCUAGGUCAUCUGACAGAGUCCAGCUGAGGUCAGUAAAUCAUUAUUACUUAAUAGCUAUCUAUUAGCUUAUAGGAAGUAAGCUGGUUGCCGUCAGGCUCCCACUGGGCAAAUGUUUACCCCACAAAACUGUUGGCCUAAUUGGUGCUGAUUGUCAGUGUCAGCAAAAGCUGCAUCUUUCUCUGUAUGUGUCAGGACUGGAGUAUGUGGGCAAAGAAAGAUCAAAUGUUCUGCACCUGACAGCAGAUGGCAAGUGGAGAGACCUCAGCACUCAGUCUGCGCACUAUCAGCUUUGCAAUAAGUACGUGCUCUGUGCUGCUCAUACUCUGCAGUGGAUCCCUCCCCAGCUUUGCAAUAACUUGAUGAUUAAUCUAGUGUACAGCUAAGGGCCACGGAGGACAAUUGCUCAAUAGCAGGUUGAAAAUAUGGAAAUGUUUCCAUAUCCAAAAAUGGCUGCUGUUGGAAAAUUCUCCUGUGAUAUUUUGAAUGCAGUCAAAGCAAAGCAGGGAUGAACUUGCCACCUCAUGUGAAAUUCUGUGAUUUUGACCUCUUUUCCAGUUUGAAACAGAACAGGUAUAUAAGUUGGCAAAAAUUAAAAACAAUUUGGAGAGCUCAACAUAUCGCUUUCCAAGUGAGCAAAUGUGUUCAAUUACCUCAAAGUUGAAAAACAAAACCUGCCUUUCAAACA
rnacentral:lncRNA from 1 species